GUUUACUAACGACGGCCAAUUUUAAAACUGCUUUCAUACGUUUAUACUAAAACGACAAAAUGUUCGAACCGCUCGCAUUUUGAUAAUGCAUGGUAAAUACCAUAACCAUUUUACUGUAACAGGUCGCAGUUUUGAUUGAUCAUUAUUAUAUUAUUGUUAACAGGCGCAGUCUUGGGACGUGGUCAGCCGAAUUUAGUCAAACCCUCCAAUCGCAGUGAAAAAAACAUAAAUUCGACGAAGCUUCUCUAUUGUAUAAAAUUCUUUAUAAAGUGCUGUUAACGGACACGGGCCGAUCCGCAAACAUUAUUUAACCAUUAUUUGACAAACAAAAAAAUACGCG